UACGUAAGGGGCAAGCGUUGUCCGGAUUUAUUGGGCGUAAAGAGCGUGUAGGCGGCCUGGAAGGUCAGCUGUGAAAACUCGAGGCUCAACCUCGAGACGUCGGUUGAAACCACCUGGCUAGAGUCCGGAAGAGGAGUGUGGAAUUCCCGGUGUAGCGGUGAAAUGCGCAGAUAUCGGGAAGAACACCCGUGGCGAAGGCGGCACUCUGGGACGGUACUGACGCUGAGACGCGAAAGCGUGGGGAGCGAACAGG
rnacentral:rRNA from 1 species